rnacentral:rRNA from 1 species
UAGUUCGUGGAGUGAUCUGUCUGCUUAAUUGCGUUUCACAUUAAGAACGAAAGAGUCCCGCCUGUAUCGAUGGUACGCCAUAGGUACGGCUUUUAUGUGGAUUUCUAUAAGUUCUGAAGGCAACGAACGUGACCGCAACCUCUAGUUGCACGCUCGUAACGUCUCUUCCUUCACUUUUCAAUUUAUUGAAUUGUGAUAGAGCGUUCACAACGCGUUUUGCUAACUAGAGGGACCGCUAGUAACUUUCAAACAGAGGAAGGUUGCGGCAAUAACAGG